rnacentral:rRNA from 1 species
UGGGCAACCUGCCUCAAUACGUGGGGGAUAGCGAGUUAGGAAACGACUGAUAAUACCGCAUAAGCGCACGGAGUCGCAUGACUCUGUGUAGAAAAACUCCGGUGGUAGUGAGAGUCGGGCCCGCGUCAGAUUAGCUAGUUGGUAAGGUAACGGCUUACCAAGGCGACGAUCUGUAGCCGGACUGAGAGGUCGGACGGCCACAUUGGGACUGAGACACGGACCCAAACUCCUACGGGAGGCAGCAGUGGGGGAUAUUGCACAAUGGAGGAAACUCUGAUGCCAGCGACGCCGCGUGAGUGAAGAAGUAUUUCGGUAUGUAAAGCUCUAUCAGCAGGGAAGAAAAUGACGGUACCUGACUAAGAAGCCCCGGCUAACUACGUGCCAGCCGCGGC